rnacentral:rRNA from 1 species
GAUGAACGCUGGCGGCGUGCCUAAUACAUGCAAGUCGAGCGAACAGACGAGGAGCUUGCUCCUCUGACGUUAGCGGCGGACGGGUGAGUAACACGUGGAUAACCUACCUAUAAGACUGGGAUAACUUCGGGAAACCGGAGCUAAUACCGGAUAAUAUAUUGAACCGCAUGGUUCAAUAGUGAAAGACGGUUUUGCUGUCACUUAUAGAUGGAUCCGCGCCGCAUUAGCUAGUUGGUAAGGUAACGGCUUACCAAGGCAACGAUGCGUAGCCGACCUGAGAGGGUGAUCGGCCACACUGGAACUGAGGCACGGUCCAGACUCCUACGGGAGGCAGCAGUAGGGAAUCUUCCGCGAUGGGCGAAAGCCUGACGGAGCAACGCCGCGUGAGUGAUGAAGGUCUUCGGAUCGUAAAACUCUGUUAUUAGGGAAGAACAAAUGUGUAAGUAACUAUGCACGUCUUGACGGUACCUAAUCAGAAAGCCACGGCUAACUACGUG